GGGGCUGAUUCUGGAUUAGACGGGUUUUGCGAAACCCAAGGUGCAUGCCGAGGGGCGGUUGGCCUCGUAAAAAGCCGCAAAAAAAUAGUCGCAAACGACGAAAACUACGCUUUAGCAGCUUAAU
rnacentral:tmRNA from 1 species